UACGUAGGAUGCGAGCGUUGUCCGGAAUUACUGGGCGUAAAGAGCGCGUAGGCGGUUCUGUACGACUAUGGUGAAAGCCCCCGGCUCAACUGGGGAGGGUCCGUAGUAACGGCAGGACUCCGAGUGCAGGAGAGGGACGUGGAACUCCGGGAGUAGCGGUGAAAUGCGUAGAGACCCGGAGGAACACCAGUGGCGAAGGCGGCGUCCUGGCCUGCGACUGACGCUGUGGCGCGAAAGCUAGGGGAGCAAACGGG
rnacentral:rRNA from 1 species